rnacentral:misc_RNA from 1 species
AAACCUCAAUCACAAACAUGCCCUUAAUGUUACAUGAAAAGCUCUAGUUGAUCAUAUUGGCUGAUCAUAAUUGAUUCGUCAUCGUAUUAUUUCCUCUGCAAGUAAAAUAGUUCAAGCUACAUUCCUAAACAAUGUACUAUAUAUAAAUGAUUAUACUUGCAAAUUAAAUUGCAAAGUUUCAAGCAGAGCUAUUCUCUACCUUCAAUUUUUUCAUCUAAUGUACCAUGCAAUUUACAUUAUUUUAUUUAUAUCAGAGGAAACUUUGUCUACACUUCAACUUUCUACCUUCUAAAACAUUGGAUUCUUGAUGUUUCCCGUUGUUCCCUAACUUUCAACAUUGUCCCAAUCAAGGGAUUCAUUUUCGUAGUCAUGUUCUAACUCCUGAAGCCUGUUGUAGGCCAACCGGCUCAUCAUACUGAGACCUUCAAUUAUUCUGUACAAAGACAACCACCAUCUUUCUCUGGGAACCUGGUACCGUUGUAGUGUAUCAUCUAUUACUUCAUUGUGCUUCCCCUCCAGGACAUGCUGCAAAGUUAUCACUGCAUCUUUUGUUUUUUGGAGUAUAUUGUUCUCUUCUCCGCUAACUAAACUUUGAAGAUCAUUCUGUGAGAGGCUGACUGCAAGGGCGAACUGGGCAGCAGCAGCCCAUCUUGAUGAGGCUAUCCAUCUCCCAUGGCCAUCUGGCCUGUUGGUCACUUUAUUUAAUUUUUCUUUCCUCUCAAAUACUAAGCUACGCAAGUACUGAGCGUUUGCAGGUCCUGUACUUUGAACCAUCCUAGAGAAUGCACUUCCUUCAUUUGAUAGCAGCUCCUUUGGAGUAGCAUGUUCUAAGACCUGACCAGCAUCAAGCACUAGAAUUCUGUCACAAUCGAUUAUGGUAUUUAGUCUGUGUGCAAUAACAAGCAUUGUGCAGGAUUUAAAUUCUUCUCGAAUGGUUUUCUGA